rnacentral:rRNA from 1 species
UACAGAGGGCGCGAGCGUUGUCCGGAAUCACUGGGCGUAAAGGGCGCGUAGGCGGACUCUUAAGUCGGGGGUGAAAUCCUGGGGCUCAACCCCAGAACUGCCUUCGAUACUGAGAGUCUCGAGUCCGGGAGAGGUGAGUGGAACUGCGAGUGUAGAGGUGAAAUUCGUAGAUAUUCGCAAGAACACCAGUGGCGAAGGCGGCUCACUGGCCCGGUACUGACGCUGAGGUGCGAAAGCGUGGGGAGCAAACAGG